AAUAAAAAUGUGUGGUUGUAUACGGUCGAAGAUGACUAGAUGACUAGAUGAUGUGUAAUGAUGUUUAUUUUUGUGUGCCUAAGGGAGUUUACUGCGAUUGGAGAUUGGAUAUUCAAGUUUCGGUUAUUUGGUUUUCUUGCAGUUUAUCCGUGAAUGUACUCGCAAAUGUUGAUGAACUAAUCAAGGACAAGAUUGAAAUGGAGAAGGAGAGUAAACCUAAGGAGACUGAAGAGCAGGAUGUAAUCAAGUAGCAGAACAUGUAUGCCCAACUACGGCCACUCGCUCAACCUGAAUCGUAGGGUAUGGGUGGUGGAUACGGUCAACUAGGACCACCACUGCCAAUGGUGAAAUGAGAGUUUCACCAAUGCACCACCGUUUGGCAUGCCUCAUGCCCUUGAACUCGAUGGAAAACUAUUAUCGAUAGUGCUGUGACACUUCAUUUAGCAGGGGAAAGAGGCGCAUACACCCCCUAUAACAACUUGAAUAUCAGAAUCUCGACAAUGACACCUAAAGAAUAUAACAUAUCUUGAUGCAACGAUCAGCCUUCAGUCUUGCUAUUCUAUCAAAGAUUACAUAUGUGCGCUUCAAGAUGAAUGUUGAAGAUUGUAACCCACACAACUUGCAUAAGAUCUGGUAAAGCAACUUCAAUGGUUUCCUUACACAGAAAUAACACACCACAACACCUCUUCCACUUUGCAUCAUAUUUUUCUAUGUACCAUCUCUGUUAACAAU